rnacentral:rRNA from 1 species
UACGGGGGGGGCUAGCGUUGUUCGGAAUUACUGGGCGUAAAGGGCGCGUAGGCGGCCUACUAAGUCGGACGUGAAAUCCCUCGGCUCAACCGGGGAACUGCGUCCGAUACUGGUGGGCUCGAAUCCGGGAGAGGGAUGUGGAAUUCCAGGUGUAGCGGUGAAAUGCGUAGAUAUCUGGAGGAACACCGGUGGCGAAGGCAGGUCUCUGGGCCACUACUGACGCUGAGAAGCGAAAGCAUGGGGAGCGAACAGG